GCGAAAAGUCUGAGAUGUUGGAGUCGGUCUCUAUUUGUUGGUGUUUCGGCUCCACUGUGGGAAUCGGCCUCUCCUCUUCCUGCCCACGGAACAGUGAGUGUCUGUCAGCGCCUCACCGCACCGGCUCUCUGCCUCAGGUACCACAGCUCUGAGGGGCCGAAGGAGCAGGAGCCGCCCCCUCCUUCCGGAGAAUCGCAAGAUCGCUAUUAAUUCGGGUCUCGGAAGUGAGAGACAAUGCAAUGCUUCUGACCAUUGUUCUUAGAGGCACCUGUGUGUCCCUACUACGUGACAGAUGCCAUGGACAUGAACACCCUCGGGACAUGUGGGGGUGGAGAUUGCAUCCCCCUACUUUGAUGGACAGCUACAACUCUGCAAGUAAAGAUAGAAGCGGACUGCAGGAUGCAGUACCCUAGCGAUGCACCAGAAGAACUUGCUUGCUCAAAGCUCCCUUGAGAGCUGGAAGCCACUCAACUCCUAACACCUUUGCCUGGGGAGCGGGUGGCUGAUAAUACCGAGAAGGACUUCGAACUAACAACGGGGAAACCAACGCUCCCCUGGUUUUAACGGAGUGGCUUCAUAAAGACACGGGAAAGUUUUCUUUUCGUUUUCACCGAUCCCUCUAAAACACGUGAAACCCAACGAGUCCUCGAAAGGCUAAAGUCUGCAGACUUCUGAAUGACUUUUUAUAUUUCCAAUGGACAAAAAUAUUAUCCCCUAGACAACAGCCGAGAUUACUUCUUAAUGAUGAUUAUGACUAUACCCGCGCUUUAGAUUGAGUAUUGGUGAUGUGCAUUAUCUGAAUGUUUGCAUUAACCUUACUUUUGUGCCCCUUUAUAAAUAAAAACAUUUGAAAAUAGUGACAUCAGACUUCAACGGACCUCACUAUCUUUGCUGGUAAGUUCUCCAGUUACGGGAUACAUAACACUAUCAGGAGGGAGGAACUAAUGGGAUGAAAAGCAAACAUUACCAGGUCCCAACAACCUGCACUGGAGGGUUUCACAGGAAGUCUGGAGAGAAAGUAGAGACAUUGAAGUCUGUCAAAACUCACUGUUACAGAAAGGUCCCAGUGGAGUUGAAAACCAUUGAAGAAGGGUGGAAGAAAGGUGACUGUAGUCCAGUUAACUUCACUUCAGCUAUUGGUGUCUAUAAUCUGUGAAAACAUAACAAAUCAUUUAGAAAAGUUUAAUGUCAUUGAACUAAGGCAAGAGGGCUUACAGUCAGAUUCACACAGCACAGAAACGAGCCCUUCAGCUCAAAUGGUCCACGCUGACCAAAGUUCCCAUCUGAGCUUGUGGUCAGUAUCACCCUCGCCACCACAUUAUGGACAAGGUUAUCCUCCUCCUUGUCCCAUUUCCCUGCAUUUGACCCAUAUCGUUCAAAACAUUUCUGAUUGGCCAGUUGUUCUCUCCAACAGGAUAUGGGGAAGCUUGUGAUUAGAAUACACGGUAAAUGGAGUUUAAUGUGUUAAGUGUGAUGGCAUGUGGUAGGAGGAAUCAAAAUUCACUACUAUUUAUGUGGAGAUAAAUUGUAAAUAAGAGAAAUAGAGUGGGGUCGAGGUGUUGCCUGCACAACAAAAUAGAGACGGGUGCAGUGAGGGGUUCAUAAUACCACACAUGACGAAGUUUCAGAGGUGAAUGGCUCAUGGACAUUUAUUGCUUGGACAUGAGUGCAGAGAAACAGAGAAGUGUUGUUAGUGUCAAACAAACGAACAAUGAUGGAUCUUGGGAAGUUAAAGCUUGUCAGGACAUACCCAGUGAAUGGCAGGGUCCUGAGGAGUGUUAAUGAAAUGAUAAACCUGAAGCACAGGUAAAUAGUUCCGUGCAAGUGCCAACACAGGUAGACAAGGUGGUGAAGAAGGUGCACAACAUGCUUAAAUUCAUGGCAAAGGCUUUCAGAGGAGUUCGGACAUCACAUUACAGUUGUAGAAAUCAUAAUUAAACCACACCAGGAGUAGCCUGUGCAGUUCUGGUCACCAGGAGAGGAAGGAUGUGAUUAAGGUGCAGAAAUGAUUCACAGGAAUGUUACUCGGACUAGGGGCUUGAGUUACAAGGAAAGAUCAGAUUGAAUGGGACUGUUUUCCCUGGAGUGAAGGAGGCUGAGGGGAGAAAUGACAGAAGUUUAUAAAACUAUGAGAGGUGUAGACAAGGUAGACAGUCAGAAUCACCUCCCCAGUGUAGAAGUAUCAAAUAUGAGAAGGCACAGCUUUAAAAUGCCAGGGUGAGAAUUUAAAGGUGGAUUUCAGGGCAGGUAAGAUUUCUGUUUCCAUACAAAGAGUGGUGAGGGCCGGGUUUCGGCUGCCAUGGGCAGUGGUGGAAGCAGAUACGAUAAUGACACUUAACAGGGUUUUAGAUAAGCCAUGAAUAUUCAGAGGAUUGAAGCACAUGAAUUAUACAUAGGCUGGAGAUUUAGUUUCAUUUUGCAUCCUCUUCAACACAGACAGAAGAAGGGCCUGUUCCUGUGCUAUACUGUUCUGUGUUCUCAUUGAGCCUGAGUGACUGGGGAUUCAUUAGCCGGGGUCACAGACAGGUGUAUCAGUGGCAAGCAGAGAGAUUGCAGGAUGCUGCAUUACCUGCCUGGUACCAGAGCCAAGGAUGUAACUGAACAAGUACAGGCCAUUCUGAAAGGGCAGGGUGAGCAGCCAGAGGACGUGUCCAUAUUGGUUCUAACAAAAGAGACAAAGUC